GAUGAAGAACGCAGCGAAAUGCGAUAAGUAAUGCGAAUUGCAGAAUUCAGUGAGUCAUCGAAUCUUUGAACGCACAUUGCGCCCUGUGGUAUUCCGCAGGGCAUGCCUGUUCGAGCGUCAUUUCAACCCUCAAGCCUCGCUUGGUGUUGGGCCCUGCCCGCCGCGGCCGGCCCUAAAGAUAGUGGCGGCGCCGCCUGGCCCUCAGCGUAGUACAGCUCUCGCUCCAGGGUACGGCGGCAGCCUGCCAGAACCCCCCAACUCUGUGGUUGACCUCGGAUCAGGUAGGGAUACCCGCUGAACUUAAGCAUAUCAAUAAGCGGAGGA
rnacentral:misc_RNA from 1 species